GAUGAAGAAUGCAGCGAAAUGCGAUACGUAAUGUGAAUUGCAGAAUUCAGUGAAUCAUCGAAUCUUUGAACGCAUAUUGCGCUCUCUGGUAUUCCGGAGAGCAUGCUUGUUUGAGUAUCAGUAAACACCUCAACUUCCAUAUCUUUUUUGAAAUGGGAGUUGGACUUGAGUGAUCCCAACGCUUUUCCUCACCGAAAAGUGGCGGGUUACUUGAAAUGCAGGUGCAGCUGGACUUUUCUCUGAGCUAUAAGCAUAUCUAUUUAGUCUGCCUAAAAAACAGAUUAUUACCUUUGCUGCAGCUAACAUAAAGGAGAUUAGUUCUUGUGCUGACUGAUGCAGGAUUCACAAAGACAGGCUUCGGCCGACUUUGUAAACUCGAUCUCAAAUCAAGUAAGACUACCCGCUGAACUUAAGCAUAUCAAUAAGCGGAGGA
rnacentral:misc_RNA from 1 species